rnacentral:lncRNA from 1 species
AGACUAGAAAAAUGGCGAACAGCCAUCAAAAUACUGAAAUUACACAUCUUUCACUGGACACACAAAUGGGUGCGCGCCGCAAAAUUCAGCCCUAAUGGUGAAUGUGUGCGAACGUUCACCGUGGGAAGAGGUAUGGGACGACAGCUGACAUGGCAUCUAGACGGUAAUCUGGUGGCUUUAGCAUUAAGUUGUAACCGCUUUAAGAUAUUUGACAUAGCUGAAGGCGAGCUAAUACAGUGCAUUCGUCGCCGGAGAAUGAUGUUGCAUUUCACCCAAGUGGAAAUUUCUUGGUGACUGGCGGCGAUGACGAUACAAUAAGAUUGCUUGAUUUAUUAGAAGGUCGACCAAUUUAUACACGUUGCUCGUUUGGAAAUCUAAUUUGCAUACAUUUGAUGCCAAUAGCUCUCGCAACAAGCAAGCCAGCUCUCAAAGAGUCCAAAUUGAUUUUAGUCAUGCAACAGCUCCACAUAACUCCGACAUAGACACACACACCAGUUGCUGCAGUACCAAAAAGCUGUGAUGACAGUAUUUUAA